GACGAACGCUGGCGGCGUGCUUAACACAUGCAAGUCGAACGGAAAGGCCCUGCUUUUGUGGGGUUCUCGAGUGGCGAACGGGUGAGUAACACGUGAGUAACCUGCCCUUGUCUUUGGGAUAUCUUCAGGAAACUCGGGCUAUUACCCGGUAGGAUCUCCUGCUGCGUGUUGGGGGAUGGAAAGUUUCGGCGGUUGGGGAUGGACUCGCGGCUUAUCAGCUUGUUGGUGGGGUAGUGGCUUACCAAGGCUUUGACGGGUAGCCGGCCUGAGAGGGUGAACGGCCACAUUGGGACUGCGAUACGGACCAGACUCCUACGGGAGGCAGCAGUGGGGAAUAUUGCACAAUGGGCGGAAGCCUGAUGCAGCAACGCCGCGUGCGGGAUGACGGCCUUCGGGUUGUAAACCGCUUUCGACUGUGACGAAGCGUGCGUGACGGUAAUGGGUAAAGAAGCACCGGCUAACUACGUG
rnacentral:rRNA from 1 species